ensembl:lncRNA
CAGUGAUGAGCACAUCCAAUCGGGUGCAGUAAGUUAAAAUUUCAACCCUCGUUCACAGUCAGCAUCCUCCCUCUCAGCUAGGGCCUGAGAUGGCCAAGGGGAGCUGAGGCUUCGCUCUUUUUGGCCUCCCACCACCCCCUCCCUGGGCACCCACUCACUCAGGUGCCUCUGGGUCCCCAGGAGCUGAAUCCCACCCCCCAAGUUCUCCAGAGACCCUUAUACCUUCCAUGUACAUAAUGGAGUAAGACCACUACAGGUUUCUGACCACUUAAACCAUCUAUUGACUCAACCAAUUCAUUAAUAUACUCAUUUGACUUUCUGAAUUAAUAAAAAUUUUAAAUGUUUGCUGUAUAACCAAUGCUGUGCUAGAUACUGUGUAAGACACAGUCCCUGCCAUCCAGAAAUGUUGCCUCCAGUUCUGAUGAGAAAUUGUACACAGUAACUAGACCACAAGACUGUGUAUCCUGUGUCUCUCAUAGUCACAGCACAGUAAGUCCUAUAAGAAAUUAGCAAAGGAAACUAUCCUUUCCAACACAGAUCAUCAUCAGAGAAGACUUGUUUGAAACGUGAAGGCUGUGUGAUAAUAGCUAAAUAUGGUGUCUUACGUGCAUAUUAUUAUGUAUUCCCUUCAACGCCCUUGUGAAGUAUAUACUGUUACCAUCUGCAGGUACAGUGGAGAAAAUCAAAACCUAGUGAUAUUGAGUAAAGCUGGGGGGUGGGGACAGGUGUGGUGGUGAAGGACCAGGGGCUCAAACCAAUAUUGUCCACUUCCAAACCCUGGAGAGAACUUUCCAGAACGGGAGGUAGAGACAAGGAAACAAGGUGAGGGAAGGGGCAAGAUGGUCCAGGUCUGGCUAAUCUGACGUCCUGCUUGACCAGCAGGGAUGUAGAAGGUGACCUCAGGGUUAGAUGGGGCAGUGAAUGCUAUCACUGCACCCUGCCCCUCUGAAGAAGAGCAGCUGGAGAGUUCCUGUUGUGGCUCAGGGGUAACAAACACAACUAGCACCAUUGAGGUGGUUUCAAUCUCUGGCCUCGCUCAGUGGGUUAAGUAUCCAGCAUUGCAUGAGCUGUGAUGUAGGAUGCAGAUGCAGCUCAGAUCUGGCGUUGCUGUGGCUGUGGCAUAGGCCAGCAGCUGCAGCUCUGAUUUAACCCCUAGCCUGGGUACCUCCAUAUGCCUUGGGUGCAGCCCUACACAGACAAAAAAGAAAAGAGCAUCUUUAAGAACCCUAACAAAGGAGUACAUCUGGAAGAUCCUUGUCUGCCUGCGAGCUUCCAGCCACAUGACACAUUUUCCUGAGCUCCAGCCUAUUUAUUUCUUUGCCAUCUGACAACCCUGUGCAAGAAGGGUCUCUACCUGCACCAUCCCGCAUUCAGGAACCUGGGCAGCUAACCCUUCUCCUCAACCCAGAUGAGUAAAAACACCAGUCGAAGUGUCCAGUUCCCUACUGGAACUCAGGUUGGGAACCUGACAUAGUGUCCCUGAGGACACAGGUUCGAUCCCUGACCUUGCUCAGUGGGUUAAGGAUCCAGCAUUUCUGUGAGCUCUGGUGUAGGUCGCAGAUGCCGCUCAGACCCUGCAUUGCCGUGGCUAUGGCAUAGGCCAGCAGGUGCAGUUCCCAUUCGACCCCUAAUCCAGGAACUUCCAUGUGUUGCAGGUGUGGCUGAAAAAGAAAAAGUGCUUUGGUUUAAUCUUCUGGAGUGUCUAGAGGGAGUGAGGGUGAGGAGGGAUGUAUGAGAUUCAGGAAAGAAUGGUCAUUGGACUCAGAUGAGGCAAUUACAUAAUGGGAUGGCCUAGAGGGUGGAUCUGUCAAAAACUAAGAAAAAGUAAUUCAUCUGCUCAAUCACUUAUGAUUUUCAGUGACUUCUUAGGAAGCGUGACAUUAAGUGCCAUGCAGCCACAAAAUGCCUUUUUUUUUUUUAAAGAAGUACACAUUACCUGUUGUUAUGUUUGAUGACUUACAGAGCUCUUACCCUGUGAAAUGAGAAGACCAGUGACUCUUCUCCAAAAUCAGCAGUUCACCUGCUGCUCCUUCCUCUCUGCUAGGGGACCAUUUCUCUCCUCAGAGCCCCAUCUGGCUCAUAUGGUUUAAUCCAAAAACACAGUCAUAUUCAUCAUCAAGAAUUUGCAUUUACUAGACUCUGCAGCUACUACUUUUUUCCAAAUUAAAAAGAAACAAAUAAAAUUAUAAGUGCAGCCCUUGACAGCUGCAGGAGAAUGAGCUAGAACUUCAAAACCGGGGGUGUCCCAGGUGUUUCCGGGAGUACCCCAGAAGCCUCCUGGCCCUGGGCUGUCAUUCCUGUAGGGUUUCUGGGAGUGAGGAAUAGGAAGAAAUUCCAAAAGCAUCAGGAAACACAAUACUCUCUAUUUUCCAUGUGUUUUUCACCACUUCUCAGAACAGGUAUGGUCUCAGGUUUUGAACUCUCUUUUCAGGUGUGUUUUUUCCAUAUGGUAAUGUUUGAAACUGUGAUUUUAGCCUCUAAGAAGAGCAGCAGAUGUGCAUGAAAUGCAUCUCUAGGAAAUGCAGAGUGAUGCGCUGAUAAGCUCUGAAAUAAAGGAUUUUGCUAAAUUUUGUUUCCCCUGGAAGUCUAUGUGCUUUUCUUCAGUAAAAGCUGUUAUCCUGUAGAACAUUCUAGGAAGCACUGUUGUAUGUGAAAACAAAGGCAUGCAACAUCUGGCCCAUCAGACUGGAUUAUAAUAACAGUCUUUUUGGUUGACAGGAAGAAAAAUACUGGAUAAUGCAUUAGCGUAAGUGUGUUUUUCAUGCAUUACACACCUAUAAAUUAAUUGCAUAUCCUGAAUAUAUACUAUUGCUUUGAGUUUUAAAAUGCCUAAGAUAAAAAUGAAAUAAAUAAACCAGAGCUUAUUAUUCCAAGUCUCAUUGUCAUGCUAUUUCCUGCAGAAAUACACUCCAGGCUUCCAGAAAAUUCUCUGGACUUUUUAAAUGAACACCUGAAUGUUGUGCCCAUGUCCAUGCCCUGGCUUCUUAUUUCACCUGUAUAAAUAGCUCUGACCCACUGAAACUGCAGAGAUGCAAUUCUGUGCCAAGAAAGUACAACUGCAGACAUUUUUUUUUUUUCUGGAAACUGCAAUGGAGCCCUCCUGUGGCUAAUUUAAUCCAGCAACUAUUCCCUGAUCUCAGCAGAAAAGCAUGUAAAGAAGCGGCUUCACAGUAGCUAUAGCUGUGACAGGGUGCUUUGAGCCCAAGAGAAUAAACAGCCCUGUGACAGAUAGCCAUUUCCUUGGGGGAGGAAAUAGAGCCUGAGGACAGAAGGAGCAGAAUUCACCUGUUUGCUCUGCGGGCAGCAUCACAGCCAUUCUCAUCAACUCCGUGGUGGUGAUUUGCCAAAGGCCUGGAAUUCAGAGCUGCAUCAACCAUGAGAGACUAUUUAUGCCUAAAAAAAAGGAAAAACCACCUAUUUCCAUGACUCAAAUGUCCCAAUGUUCAAUGAAAAAGAAUUUUCCGUUUAUCCAGAGAUAAUUUUUCUGGCAGGUGCUGUUGUAGGCUGGAUGUUAGUGAUGCCAUCAAAUUCACAUGUUGAAAACCCACCCCCACCCCCACCCUGUGUGAUGGUGUGAGGAGGUGGGGCCUUUCAGAGGUGAUUAGGGCCUGAGGACAGGGCCCUGAGGAGGGAAUUCUGCCCUUAGGAAAAAGCCCUCACAAAGCUCCUGUCAGAGGGGAUAGUGAAAAGAUAGCCAUCAGCCAGGACGAGGGUCCUUGGCAGACACAGAAUCUGCCAGCACCACCGUCUUGGAUUCACAGCCUCCAGUACCACGGUAAUAAAUGUCUGCUGCAUGUAAGUCACCAACCCGUGGUCUUCUGUUGCUGCUACAGCUAUAAGGGACGAAGGCAGACAUGGGUACCAAGAGUCUGCCAGAACAAAUCUAAAAAGAGAGACAAGACUUAAAGAUGGGAUCGCUAAUCAAUUGUUAGUCAGAAUUUGGGCCGCCCUCCCAUCACAGGCCUAGAGCAAGGGCCUGGGGGCAACCCAAUUCAAAGAAGGGCCCCCCAGUGGGGCUCAUAUAUCUGGCUCUCCAUUGCCUCCAGGCUGGGCUCGGGGCCCUGGUGAAGCUAAGCUAUGGGGGUGAGGCUGCCUCCUCCUGGGCUUCUAAGGCUGCCCUCAGGAGCCUCAGGUCCAGGCAGAGGACCACGUGGGAGGGUGCCCCACAGAAAGCCCCGCUAUGGUAAUGCCCAUCAGAUCUGGCUGAUUGGAAGCCCCUCCCACACCCCAGAUCAGCAGAGUCAGCAGUGUGGUCAGGAGGCCACAGGUGCUGGGCCCCCACCUGGCACAACCUGGGUGGCAGGCCCUCGAGAGCCUUGGGACCUCACCCUACCCAGUGAAGGGGGGAUCCAGAUCCCCACCCCACCCACAAUGGGUUUGGAAAGCCGAACCUCUGCCCAAUGGGUCAGAGGGCAGAACACGGGAUCAAAGGUUCUUCCUGAACCUGGAAGCGUGAUGAGUUUGCCCUGUUGGAAUUUGGAUGAGCCUGGGACUCCUCUUUUCCUUCUCUCUCUAGGGUGGGAGAGUCUGUGCUAUGCUUCCCCCACUCCCCACAUCCCUCACCCCUGGCUCUGGAAGCACAGGUUCACCCCUGGACAAGAACUGGAGUCUCAGCCACAUCCAAUUUCCAUGCUAUUUAGAUAAGACUUAGACUUCUGAUUUGAUGGCAUCUGAGAAGGACAUGAACUUGAGGAGGCAAAAAGCAAAAUUUUGUUUUGGCAGCCCAAAAAGUUUACUCAAGACACAGCUCAGAACCAGAAAGUAAUAAGAGGAAAAAAGGACCGUCCUGAACUUGACCCUGCAAACCACAGUCCUUGCCAAGGACCGGAGAGGGCUUGUCAGGUGGUCCACUCACCGGUCCCCCAUACCAGGCGAUGACCACUUCCCACCUAACUCCUCAUAUCUCUGCAUCUUGGCUCUUUCCUAGGAUGCUUUCUCCUCUCUCUCAUCUGAGAGCUUCAGUGGACCAUCCUGAUCACCAGUAUGCUGCUGAUCCUCUCCUGCCCAUGGUCCCUCUUCCUCAGGCACAGUGGCUGCCCUCUCUCUCUCUCACUCCCUGUCAUAAUGUGUAUAAAAGUGCAUUUUGCCUCCUUCCUAAGGAAAGUGCUCCUAUACGUCUGCAUGGGGUGGACUGCCUCAGAGUCCAGAUAGGAUGGUACCCAGGGCCGAGGUCAUUUUGGGGGCGGGAGGGCAUCUGGAUAUGCUUAGGAAAUCACAGAAACUGAUUCUCAGCAUCUCACACUCAUGCAGCCCCCAGUAUUUAUUAAAUGACUGGCUGGGUGGAUAGAUGAGUGGUUGAAAAUGUGAUUGUGUUGGACAUCAAUUUCAUUCCUAAUUUUUAAGUAGUACAUUAUCCGUGCUCAUUGUGACAUCUAUAUGGCUUCUAUAGUUAAAAAGAAAGAAGAGAGCUUGGUGUCUUUGCUAUGGGAUCAUCUUUUCUGUAGAUACUUGUAUUGAGGAGGACAAUUUAGUGACUGUAACAAAUGAUUGCCAACCUUUCCACGGGUCAAUGGGAAACAUGAAUAUAUGAAGCAGUCCAACCAAUUCAGCUGUCCUUAGCUCUCAGUGGUUUUCCUCCCCAAGAUGAUUGACACGUCCAGGUUCUGUCUACCUUCCCUGGCCCACUUCAGCUGGCCGGCGGAGGAAGACAAAGUGGAGAAGGCACACAUGCCUUUGAGAAAAUCUGCCCUGGAAUUCCCGUCGUGGCGCAGCAGAAACAAAUCCGACUAGGAACCAUGAGGUUGAGGGUUUGAUCCCUGGUCUUGCUCAGUGGGUUAAGGAUCUGGUGUUGCCAUGAGCUGUGGUGUAGGCCAGCAGCUGUCUGGUCACAGAUGUGGUUUGGAUCUGGCAUUGCUGUGGCUGUGGCGUAGGACAGUAGCUGUAGCUCUGAUUUGCCCCCUAGCUUGGGAACCUCCCUAUGCCACAUGUGCAGCCCU